CUGGCUGGCCAUCUUUACUGGAGGCCCACUGCUUUUGCUCUUGACACUCCUGGGCCUGCUGGCUCCAGCUUCUCCUGGACACUGAAAGGAAGGGAAGAAAGUCGUUACAGUUGAUGAACAAGGAGAUGCUGGUGGGGAACAGCUUCCAGGUAAAAAAAAACUGCCGUGUUUGUUGCCUGUUCUGAUCACAUAUGAACGUGGGGGAUCUACAAAGCAGUGAUGGGAGAACAAUCACCGGACUGAGCCUUCAUGAUGUGUCCUGCCAGGCACUCUGUUUUAUCACUGUUACUGUCCACAACUACUAGAUAAAAACCAAGAACCCUGGACCAGGACUAACCGAAAUUGAGUACCAAUCCAACACAGGAAUCUUCCUGCAAAAAUGGGCCAUGUCCUUAAGGCCACCAGGCAAGUCAGAGGACAUGGCUUAUCUCACAGUAUCUGGUCAAGAAGGCUGACUCCAAUGCUGUUGCUGGUGGGAGACUGGUAGAUGCUUGCUCCGUUGUUCUUGAUUUUAACUGUGUCAGAGAAAGCCCUCAAAGACAACAGUUCCUACUGAGAAGUCAUAACUCACUGGACUACUAAGCUAUAAGGGUUACAAAGUGUCCACUGAAAGAUCACCUGUAUCCUUUGCUAGAAGAGUAAAGAGAGAAAGGAAGAGACUAAGAGACAUGACCUCAAAUAGAAAAAUCAACUUCCAUGAUCACAAAAAUUUU